rnacentral:rRNA from 1 species
CAUAGGUUAAUGAGGCGAACCGGGGGAACUGAAACAUCUAAGUACCCCGAGGAAAAGAAAUCAACCGAGAUUCCCCCAGUAGCGGCGAGCGAACGGGGAGCAGCCCAGAGCCUGAAUCAGUGUGUGUGUUAGUGGAAGCGUCUGGAAAGGCGCGCGAUACAGGGUGACAGCCCCGUACACAAAAAUGCACAUACUGUGAGCUCGAUGAGUAGGGCGGGACACGUGGUAUCCUGUCUGAAUAUGGGGGGACCAUCCUCCAAGGCUAAAUACUCCUGACUGACCGAUAGUGAACCAGUACCGUGAGGGAAAGGCGAAAAGAACCCCGGCGAGGGGAGUGAAAAAGAACCUGAAACCGUGUACGUACAAGCAGUGGGAGCCUCUUUAUGGGGUGACUGCGUACCUUUUGUAUAAUGGGUCAGCGACUUAUAUUCUGUAGCAAGGUUAACCGAAUAGGGGAGCCGAAGGGAAACCGAGUCUUAACUGGGCGUUAAGUUGCAGGGUAUAGACCCGAAACCCGGUGAUCUAGCCAUGGGCAGGUUGAAGGUUGGGUAACACUAACUGGAGGACCGAACCGACUAAUGUUGAAAAAUUAGCGGAUGACUUGUGGCUGGGGGUGAAAGGCCAAUCAAACCGGGAGAUAGCUGGUUCUCCCCGAAAGCUAUUUAGGUAGCGCCUCGUGAAUUCAUCUCCGGGGGUAGAGCACUGUUUCGGCAAGGGGGUCAUCCCGACUUACCAACCCGAUGCAAACUGCGAAUACCGGAGAAUGUUAUCACGGGAGACACACGGCGGGUGCUAACGUCCGUCGUGAAGAGGGAAACAACCCAGACCGCCAGCUAAGGUCCCAAAGUCAUGGUUAAGUGGGAAACGAUGUGGGAAGGCCCAGACAGCCAGGAUGUUGGCUUAGAAGCAGCCAUCAUUUAAAGAAAGCGUAAUAGCUCACUGGUCGAGUCGGCCUGCGCGGAAGAUGUAACGGGGCUAAACCAUGCACCGAAGCUGCGGCAGCGACACUAUGUGUUGUUGGGUAGGGGAGCGUUCUGUAAGCCUGCGAAGGUGUACUGUGAGGUAUGCUGGAGGUAUCAGAAGUGCGAAUGCUGACAUAAGUAACGAUAAAGCGGGUGAAAAGCCCGCUCGCCGGAAGACCAAGGGUUCCUGUCCAACGUUAAUCGGGGCAGGGUGAGUCGACCCCUAAGGCGAGGCCGAAAGGCGUAGUCGAUGGGAAACAGGUUAAUAUUCCUGUACUUGGUGUUACUGCGAAGGGGGGACGGAGAAGGCUAUGUUGGCCGGGCGACGGUUGUCCCGGUUUAAGCGUGUAGGCUGGUUUUCCAGGCAAAUCCGGAAAAUCAAGGCUGAGGCGUGAUGACGAGGCACUACGGUGCUGAAGCAACAAAUGCCCUGCUUCCAGGAAAAGCCUCUAAGCAUCAGGUAACAUCAAAUCGUACCCCAAACCGACACAGGUGGUCAGGUAGAGAAUACCAAGGCGCUUGAGAGAACUCGGGUGAAGGAACUAGGCAAAAUGGUGCCGUAACUUCGGGAGAAGGCACGCUGAUAUGUAGGUGAAGCGACUUGCUCGUGGAGCUGAAAUCAGUCGAAGAUACCAGCUGGCUGCAACUGUUUAUUAAAAACACAGCACUGUGCAAACACGAAAGUGGACGUAUACGGUGUGACGCCUGCCCGGUGCCGGAAGGUUAAUUGAUGGGGUUAGCGGUAACGCGAAGCUCUUGAUCGAAGCCCCGGUAAACGGCGGCCGUAACUAUAACGGUCCUAAGGUAGCGAAAUUCCUUGUCGGGUAAGUUCCGACCUGCACGAAUGGCGUAAUGAUGGCCAGGCUGUCUCCACCCGAGACUCAGUGAAAUUGAACUCGCUGUGAAGAUGCAGUGUACCCGCGGCAAGACGGAAAGACCCCGUGAACCUUUACUAUAGCUUGACACUGAACAUUGAGCCUUGAUGUGUAGGAUAGGUGGGAGGCUUUGAAGUGUGGACGCCAGUCUGCAUGGAGCCGACCUUGAAAUACCACCCUUUAAUGUUUGAUGUUCUAACGUUGGCCCCUGAUCGGGGUUGCGGACAGUGUCUGGUGGGUAGUUUGACUGGGGCGGUCUCCUCCUAAAGAGUAACGGAGGAGCACGAAGGUUGGCUAAUCCUGGUCGGACAUCAGGAGGUUAGUGCAAUGGCAUAAGCCAGCUUGACUGCGAGCGUGACGGCGCGAGCAGGUGCGAAAGCAGGUCAUAGUGAUCCGGUGGUUCUGAAUGGAAGGGCCAUCGCUCAACGGAUAAAAGGUACUCCGGGGAUAACAGGCUGAUACCGCCCAAGAGUUCAUAUCGACGGCGGUGUUUGGCACCUCGAUGUCGGCUCAUCACAUCCUGGGGCUGAAGUAGGUCCCAAGGGUAUGGCUGUUCGCCAUUUAAAGUGGUACGCGAGCUGGGUUUAGAACGUCGUGAGACAGUUCGGUCCCUAUCUGCCGUGGGCGCUGGAGAACUGAGGGGGGCUGCUCCUAGUACGAGAGGACCGGAGUGGACGCAUCACUGGUGUUCGGGUUGUCAUGCCAAUGGCACUGCCCGGUAGCUAAAUGCGGAAGAGAUAAGUGCUGAAAGCAUCUAAGCACGAAACUUGCCCCGAGAUGAG